UAAGACAGAGGUGGCGACCGUUGUUCGGAAUCACUGGGCAUAAAGCGCGCGUAGGCGGCAUGGUAAGUCGGGUGUGAAAUCCCUCGGCCCAACCGAGGAAUUGCGCUCGAAACUACCGUGCUUGAGGACAGGAGGGGAGCCUGGAAUUCCUGGUGGAGCGGUGAAAUGCGUUGAUAUCAGGAGGAACACCGGCGGCGAAGGCGAGGCUCUGGUCUGUUUCUGACGCUGAGGCGCGAAAGCUAGGGGAGCAAACGGGAUUAGAUACCCCGGUAGUCCUAGCCGUAAACGAUGGGCACUAGGUAGGGGGGUACCCAAUGCCUCCCUGCUGGAGCAAAUGUAUUAAGUGCCCCGCCUGGGGAGUAUAGUCGCAAGGCUGAAACUUAAAUGAAUUGACGG
rnacentral:rRNA from 1 species